UCCNGCUGCAAGCUACCGUGCCAUACUGGAU
rnacentral:piRNA from 1 species